UCAAAACACAGAAUCCAAAGGGUUCUACUUCUUCCUUCCAAAACCCUACAUUCACCAAAUAACACUCAAAUUCAAAGGAGAAUUCAAGUUAGAAAUUAGCUUCAGGCUAGAAUUGUGAUCACACAAGAUAGUAGAUCACAAGGCAAAUUGGGUGGUUUGUCAAGUAGUCAAGGCGGAAUGGAUAGUCGUUUGAAAGGAAAGCUUUAAAGGUAAUUAAAGCGAACUCGCAGAUGAAGAUCAAGCAUUGAAGAAGAACCGAACACGCACUAAGAAAGAAGCUUCCGCAACUACAUUAAGAUUUUGUUACUAAACUCGGUGGGGGUUGUUUUGUCAAAAUUGUGUAAAUAUUGACUAAUGCUUUACAAGUUAAGUAUGCAUUAGUAAAGUUGAAUGUUUCUAAAACUUUGGAAAGAUUUUUGUUUUAAAGUUAUAGAACUUAUGUAAAUGCCGUUAUAUAAAUGUUUUGAAAACGGCAUUUGAA